ACUGAAGGUGCAAGCGUUAAUCGGAAUUACUGGGCGUAAAGCGCGCGUAGGCGGUUAUUUAAGUCAGAUGUGAAAGCCCCGGGCUCAACCUGGGAACUGCAUUUGAAACUGGGUAACUAGAGUAUGUUAGAGGAAAGUGGAAUUCAGGGUGUAGCGGUGAAAUGCGUAGAUAUCCUGAGGAACACCAAUGGCGAAGGCAACUUUCUGGGACAAUACUGACGCUGAGGUGCGAAAGCGUGGGGAGCAAACGGG
rnacentral:rRNA from 1 species